AUUUAAUUUUUAAUAAAAUAAUAUAAAUAUGAAUUAUAUUAAAAAUUAAAUAAAAUUUAUGAUUUUAAUUAUAUUAAGAAGGAAUAUUAUAUUUGUAACACUUGUCAAUAUAUUAUUGCAUUUUCAUUACAUUAUCAACUUGAAAAUUGGAAUCACGACUCAAGGAUGUAACAUUCCAAAUUACUUAUUAAAAAAAAAAUCAAAUUACAAAAGAGUAAAACUCUAAAUACUCUUUCAUAAAAAAAAAAAAAGAAAACAUUCUAAAUUUACUGUGUAAUUGGGCAAGCAAUGCAAGAAAAUGGAAGUGCAAUGUACAAGCAUUUAAAUGUGAUUAAAAAAAAAA
rnacentral:misc_RNA from 1 species